rnacentral:tRNA from 1 species
UCGCCUAUGCAAACAGGGGAAGCUUGAUUGUGGAUCAAGAGGUCGUCGGUUCGAGCCCGACUAGCCGCCCCA